UAACCAAGUCUAAGCUCCAUAUUUUGUUUCUUCCCUUUCCAAAAGCACAAUUAUUUGUAAUCAUCUCCUAAAAUAACAACAAAUCUAUAAUUUAUAAAAUGACCAAAACCAUCCACCCCAACUUAAGAGAUUAGAACUAUGGGCUUUUUAUAAUUGUUUUUUGUUGAUUUGGGGUGAAUAAUUUUUUGUUUGAGUGACCAAAAGGGGGUUGGAAAAAUGGUUAAGUGAAGAUAAAGCUAGCUGGCAAGGUGACACACGUCUCACCAUCUCAACAUCCCCAAGGGUGAAUUUUGUCAGGACUGACCACUUGGUCUUUUAUUUUGUAAUAUACAAACCUUACAACCAAUGUUUAGUUUAAUAAAGGUAUUUGUAUGAAAUGUGAAAAGUGUACAGAUUAGUUAAGGAAUAAUUUUUUGUUUUUUGUUUGAGUAGGUGAAAACAACUUUUUAUGAAUUAGUUCGAUCAAUAGCCAAAUUGUAAUUAACAUUUUACUUAUGCCAUAUGAAAGAAUGGCAUAAUGAAUUUUGAGAACUCUGUAGCCAACAAGAUUUAUAGGCUAUGUAUAGCUGAAGUAUUAUGGCUGAUCCUUAUUAUUUUAGAAGGAGUCUAAAGUCGUUUAUAUUGUUGCUGUUGUUGUUUGUUUGUUUGUCAACAAAAAUAUAGAGCAUGUCUUAGUCAGGGUUUCUAUUCCUGCAUAAAACACCAUGACGAAGAAGCAAAUUGGGGAGGAAAGGGUUUAUUUUACACUUUCCACAUUGCUGUUCAUCACCAAAGGAAGUCAGGACUGGAACUCAAGCAGGUCAGGAAGCAGGAGCUGAUGCAGAGGCCACGGAGGGAUGUUACUUACUGGCUUGCUUCCCCUGCCUUGCUUAGCUUGCUUUCUUAUAGAACCCAGGACUACCAGCCCAGAAAGGCAUCACCCACAAGGGGCCCUACCCCCUUGAUCACUAAUUGAGAAAAUGCCUUACAGCUGGAUCUCAUGGAGGCAUUUCUGCAAGGGAGGCUCCUUUCUCUAUGGUAACUCCAACUUGUGUCAAGUUAACACACAAAAUCAGCCAGUACAGAACCUCUUUCCCAAAAUAGCAUCCCUUUGGUCCAGUAACCUAAAGUCAUCAAAAGUAUAGAUGAUAUAGCUUCUUUUUUUUUAUUUAGGUCUGCUCUCCUUUGACCUCUGUCAUAAAGGAUUUGUAAUAUCAUUAUAACCACUUAAUUUAUAACCACUUAAUUUUGAUAAUUAAAACAAUUUAAAAACUAUUAUUAUUAUUUAUUGAGAUAGGGUUUUUGUUUUUGUUUUUGUUUUUUUGGAUGUAGCCUGAACUCACCUGGAUUUGUUUGUAGAUUAAGUUAGCCUGACUCACAAGAAAUCUAACUAUUCUUGCUUUUGUCUCAUAAACAUUGAAAUCGAAGACCUGGAUUUAUUUAUUUAUCCAUGUAUGCUUAAAACAUUUAUAUUAAUUUCCAUUUAUUUUUCUAUUCUUUAAAGAUUAAUAAUUUUUCUAUUGAUAGUCCGGAGUUAUUACUGUGUUUUAUUUGGGCUGCUCUUAACUCUAAUUGGCCAGUCCUCAGGGCUACAUUUUUAUGACUCUCCUAACCCAUGGAGGCUUCUUUCUCUUCCAUUCACCUUCAACCCCUCAUGGUUCUCCUUCGACCCCCAAGCCAAGGAACACUAAAUCCUUGGGUCUACAUGUGGACCUUAUUGUGUCUGGGAAAACAGAUCUUGAGGAACCAGUAUUAGUAUCAGAGUACAAGUAGCAUCAGGCCAACUCUAAUAGCAAAAAGGUGAAGAUUUCUGCCCAGCUCAUGUGCUGUUUAAGGCUUGUUGGGAAUAGUAAAAGUUAUGUGUCUUUUAUCCAUGAAUUGAAUGAUCAAGGUAGGAUAGAAACCCCAGAUUGAGAUUAAAAAUUUCUGCAACAAUCAAAUUCUCACAGAACUAUGUACCUCAGGGUCAUAUAUCUGAUGUAUUUGCAAGGCAUUCCUCAAAGAAAGAAGGAAAAAAAUGCCUUAACAGAAUCAUAACCCUAGUAGAGCUAUGCUGUAUAACUUCCAAUUUGUUUAGUCUCCUACCACUUAGAUAUUGCAAAAGGAAUACACACUGAAUAGGUGAUAGGUAUAUGUCCACAACCUUCUAAUAAGCAAAUAGUCCAUAGUAAAGCUAGAAUUUCUAAUAUACAUGUAGUAACAUUGCUAAGUUUGAUGAGAGGGGCAAUGUAUGUGAGUCAAGAAUGUUAUGGGGAAACCUUACUACCAUACCACAUGCCUAUGAAGAUUAAAAAGUCAAACUACAUGAAUGCAUUGUUACUCUUUAAAUAAGGUUAUCAUAUGUCACAAUGGAUACAAGCCAUGUGAGCAUAGGGCUAUUGACAGAAGUAAGGUAAAAAAGUAAAAAACCAAAAAACC
rnacentral:lncRNA from 1 species